GUCGGUAUCGAUUAGGGGUUAAAUCACCUCGUUGUGGCUUAAAUUCGCUUCCGAGGAGCCGCAAGUUCGAUUCCUGCUACCGACA